AUUUUGAAAACAAUUUCAAAACUACAAAACAUCUGGAAGAAUAAGUCAAAGAACUCCUAUAUACUUUUAACCCAGAUCAACACACAGAUCUGGUGUUGUUGCAGCUGCAGCUCAAAUUCAACCUCUGGCCUGGGAACUUCCAUAUGCUGUGGGUGCAGCCAUAAAAAAAGAAAAGAAAAGAAACAAACUCACAGAUUUUGAAAUCAAAUUUAGGGUUACCAAAAGGGAGAUGGGGGCUAGGAUAAAUUAAGAAGUUGGGAUUUAAUAUACACAAACUACCAUAUAUAAAAUAGUCAACAAUGGAGUUUCCAUCGUGGCUCAAUGGUUAACGAAUCUGACUAGCAUCCACGAGCACACAGGUCCGAUCCCUGGCCUUGCUCAGUGGGUUAAGGAUCCAGCAUUGCCAUGAAUUGUGGUCUAGGUUGCAGACACGGCUUGGAUCUUGCGUUGCUGUGGCUGUGGUGUAGGCUGGCAGCUACAGCUCCAAUUUGACCCCUAGCCUGGGAACCUCCAUAUGCCAUGGGUGUGGCCCUAAAAAGCAAAAAAAAAAAGUGACUGGGUGAGAAGGUGAAGGAGAUCAGGGGUCAUGUGAAAGAACCAGGGUGAGACAGCCUCUGGGGGCUACAAGUCUUCAAAGCGUAACUUGGUGUGACAGCAGCUGAAGUUUAUCUCAGACCAUGGGAGCCAGAAGGAAACUUCAUACUCUCAGAACCUCUCUAUUUUAGGAGGAGAAAAACUUUGUGAUUCCUAGAACAGAAAAGAGGUGAAAGCAGAUGGAGCAGGUGAAGUAGGGAUGGUUCCCACGGACACCACCCUCACCCCAGGUUUGCUGCUGCCCUCCCUCACAUCUUUGCAGAACCCACCAGGGCCUCACUCCUCACCUCAAGAAACUGAGGCCCAGAAGCAAGUGACAAGUGACAAGGGGGCCCACUUCUCCAAGGGGAUUGGAGCCAGGACUUCAAACUCCCAGCCCCAGAAUCCUUUGAAGCUUUUCUGGGAAAUAACAGCUUUGAAUAGAGUGGGGAAAGCAGGGGAAGGGAAGGCAGUGCAGCUCAGAAAACCACAAAGCCUCCCCUUUCCAGGACUCAGUGGUCCCAUCUGUGCAAAGGGGAGUGUUGGCCAAGAUGACCUUGGAGACACUGUCUGUUCUGGUCCCUGAGGCCAUCACCCCACCUCAGCCUAAGGAGACCCCCAUCCCAGAGCCCCAGAUCUCAGGCUUUGUCCCUCCAAAUUCUACCCCCGUUCUUGGGGUGAGGAGUAGGUGCCCCAGAGCUGCCAGUGAAUGAAGCCCAAGGCUGAGCACCAAGCAGAGGCCAUGCAGUCUGGCGGCCAGAGGCUGAUGUGAUCCAGUCUAGCAGCUCACAAUAUUUUUAAGCCACUGUGCGCCUGCCACUGGGCUGGAAGCAGAUCAGAGAAAAACAAAAAUGGAAUGACCCUGCUUAGCCUGACAACACCACCAAAGGGAAGGAAAGACUUUGAGAAAAAGCUAAACAGCCUCUUAUUUUUUUUUUU
rnacentral:lncRNA from 1 species